GUGGUCAGGUGGAUGGUCGCUCCGGGUUGCCUUUCGUUGCCGAAGGGCGUCCGGGGAGGAAAGUCUGGACUCCAUAGGGUAGGGCGUCCCUGUGUAAUACGGGGAGAUCUUUCGCUCAAGCGAGAGAAACGGAAAGUGCCACAGAAAUUAUACCGUCCUGAUGCCGCAAGGCAUCGGGAUAAGGGUGAAAUGGUGGUGUAAGAGACCACCGUCCCGAGUCGUAAGACUCGGGAGCAAGGUAAACCCCGCCUGGAGCAAGAUCAAAUAAGAUACUGAACAAGGUGACCCGCCUUUAUCCUGAUUUGCGAAAGCGGUCGGGUCAGUAUCGGGUUGAUCGCAAUAAGUCCACCCCUUUGCUUUGAUCGGGGAGGCAAGAUAAAUGACCGUCGUCCCGGUGUAUCCCGGCAUCUUUGAUGGCCGGGAACGGGAUACAAAAUCCAGCUUAUAGCCUGGCCACUUGA
rnacentral:RNase_P_RNA from 1 species